AGCUACCCUUGUUCAUUUUGGUGGUCUUUUCCAGGAACCCGUGAAAGAAUCAAGAGCGACCAAGAAGUGUCCCACAAGUGUCUCCACUGAUUUAGACAGCAUAACAAAACUAAACUGAGAGAGUUGACAGGGAGGCAAACCAGGGAAGCAAGGGGAUUUUACAUCCAGGGCACGGCAGCCGAAUAAACAUCUGAAGAUUGAAUCCUGGGCAAGAAAUCUUAGAUGAAUGAUAGCCACUGGCAUUGUACUCAAGUGACAUUUUCUGGAGGCUGAUUCCAGGAUGCAUUUUUGAAACCCGGUUGGCAAGUUUCCCUGACUAUGGCUUUGGCUGAUCCUCCCCUACAAGCAUAGCUUGAUGUUACUGCACGCUACUUUGGUCUCUGCUGAUGAGGGAAGAGAAACCCGGGGAUCUUCAUUUAUUUAAAAGCUUAACUUAGAGGAUAAGAUCAGUGAACCAGUGCUGCUGCUGUUGAAGGAGAAGAAGAGAAAGAAAGAAAUUACCAAACUAACAGAUGCUCCUUCUCACUAAAUGAGACAUUUCAAUGAAAAAAGAAGUUCACCCUUUAGCGUGAAUAUUGCACAGGCACUAAAGCAAUGGGUUUCUCUGCAGCAAUUCAUGACUUUGAUCUUCUGAUUGAUAAUGUUCGUUGCCCAUAUAUGGAUUAUAAAUGCCCACCUGCUUCUCCUCUAUCAGUGAACUGCAAGAACACUUGUAUUCUGAUGUUUGGUGUCCCAGAAGCCCAGGAGUACAUCAUGGUAUUGAAAAAGUGAAGUAGGUUAUGUGCCAAAGCCUU